UACGUAGGGUGCAGGCGUUAAUCGGAAUUACUGGGCGUAAAGCGUGCGCAGGCGGUUUCUUAAGUCAGAUGUGAAAACCUGGGGCUUAACUCUGGGCCUGCAGUCGAUACGGGCAGACUUGAGUUCGGUAGGGGAGACUGGAAUUCCUGGUGUAGCGGUGAAAUGCGCAGAUAUCAGGAGGAACACCGGUGGCGAAGGCGGGUCUCUGGGCCGUAACUGACGCUGAGGAGCGAAAGCGUGGGGAGCGAACAGG
rnacentral:rRNA from 1 species